rnacentral:lncRNA from 1 species
GACGACGAGCUGCGAAUCACCCCUGACGAUGAGCUUUUUAACUCUGAGGCCUGCCGCGAUCCUGAGACCGGCAAGCAACCCCUCGUACUCAGCAGUGUUGUUGGUGGACAUCUCCCUGGGAAAGUGCAUAUGGAUUACAUACUUGAGGUGCUCUCCGGUGGGUGCGACGAGCAGCACACUAGCACCGACGCCUUGCAGCAAGAAAGCCCCGUCAAAGUACAUAAUCCAGUCGCAAGCUGUUUCCUUGCCGGGGUGAGUGGUCUCCUGGAUCUCUUCAUCAAGCAUUGAGGUCCAUUCCGCAAUGAACUCCGCCAGGACUCUACUCUGGAUUGUUGAAGUACUUUCAAACUUCAGCCCAAAGCUUGAUAACUCCAAGGCCCACUCCACAAUCCUUCCGGUUGCGUCUGGGUUGUGCAGUAUCCGUUGAAACAGGAGGCGGGUGACGACAGUGAUCUUGUGGGCUUGGAAGUAGUGACGCAGCUUCCUCGAGGCAAUAAGGAGGCCGAAGAGCAAUUUCUGGACACCGGAAUAUCUCGACCUAGCCCCCUGCAAGAGGGAGCUGACAAAGUAAACCGGGUGCUGUAUCAUCUUCUUCUUCUGCACCACUCCACUUGACUACGCGGGCUCUGUCCUGAUGGCGUCAGACUCUGCCGGGAGCCUUGCCUUGCCGGCACCAGGCCCUGCCGGGGGAGUCUCUGACUUGCCGUCUACCGGUCCUGCUGUUGCCACUGCCUCUUCGUCAACCUCCCUCUGCGCCACUAGCGCAGCACUGACCACUUGAUUCAUCACCGCCAGAUACAGCAGCAACGGCUCUUGUGGUUUAGGCGCAACUAGUAUCGGUGUAGAGGAAAGGUAUCUCUUCAAGUCUUGCAACGCCGCCUCAGCCUCUGGGGUCCACUGCAUUGGGCCCGCCUUCUUCAAGAUCUUGAAAAAGGGAAGGGCGCGCUCGGCAGACUUGGAGAUGAAUCGGCUCAUGGCGGCAACGCAGCCAGUGAGCCGACGCACAUCCUUGAUCUGCUUGGGCGCCUCAAUCUGCUCGAUAGCCUUGAUCUUGUCUGGGUUUGCCUCGAUCCCACGUUGCGACACAAAGAACCCGAGAAGUUUGCUGGACGGAACGCUGAAGACACACUUCUCAGGGUUCAGCUUGAGGUUAAUCUUGCGCAGGUUGGCAAACGUCUCUUCUAAGUCUUGUACAAGAGUUGCCCUGUCCUUGGUUUUGACCACUAUGUCAUCCAUGUAGGCUUCCAUAUUUCUAUGUAGCUGGGGUUCAAAACCAAUCUGGACUGCCCUUGCAAAUGUGGAACCAGCACUCUUCAACCCGAAAGGCAUCCGUAAAAAGCAAUAUGUACCACACGGGGUGACGAAUGAUGUCUUCUCUUUGUCUUCUCUUGUCAUGAAGAUCUGGUGGUAGCCCGAGUAGGCGUCGAGGAAUGAUAACAGAUCACACCCGGCCGUGGAGUCAACAAUCUGGUCGAUGCGCGGUAACGGGAAGGGGUCCUUAGGAUAAGCCUUAUUGAUAUCUAUGUAGUCAAUACACAGCCUCCACUUCCCGUUCUCCUUGCGCACCACCACCGGAUUGGCCAACCACGUCGGAUGGAGCACUCCCCUUACCAAGCCUACUGCUUCCAACUUUCUGAUCUCCUCUGUGAUGAAUUCCUGCCGUUCCAAAGCUUGCUUCCUGACAUUUUGCUUGACGGGUCGCGCAUGGGGACAGAUAGCAAGAUGGUGCUCGAUCACUUCCCUAGGAACGCCGGGGAUGUCAGAUGCUUGCCACGCAAACACAUCGACAUUCGCCCGCAGGAAAGUGACGAGCGCGCCUUCCUAUUUGCUAUCGAGGGUGGAGCUUAUGGUGAAAGCCCCUCCCGUGCCAUCCUCCCUGACGGACACCUUCUUGGUCUCUGGUGGCGCAGCUCUGGACUUCUUGCUCUUGCUGGUGGAGCUCUCUGGCACGUCCUCGACAGUAGCACAACACUCCGAAGAGGUGCGCUUGCCGGAGUGAGUGCGAGAGGUCUUGCCGGUCGUCUUCUUCCCUCCCAGGGCUUCAGCGGCAGGAGCAAGUGCCUUGGCGGCAGCUGCUGCAACUGCUUCCCGGUAGAGUAGGUCGGCACAGAUCAGCGCGUCCUUCUUGUCGGAGGGGAUGGUGAUGAUGUUCAUCGGCCCAGGCAUCUUCAGCGUGUUGUAGGCAUAGUGCGACGCUGCCAUGAACUUGGCUAGUGCCGGGUGGCUGAGGAUCCCGUUGUAGGGCAAGGGGAUCUCGGCUACAUCAAAGACAAUCCUCUCCGUCCUGUAAUUCAACUCACCUCCAAACGUUACAGGCAAUGUGACCUUCCCCUUCGGCUGGCUCCUUCCCGGGUUGACCCCUUGAAACGUGCCCAUUUCCUCGAGGUCUCCAUCAGGAAUUUGCAGCCUUUUGAUCACAACGGGUGAUAUCAAGUUCAGACUGGCCUCGCCGUCAACCAGCAUCUUGUUCACCUUGAGGUUGCGUAUCGUUGGUGAGACCAACAACGGCAAACACCCGACCGCGGUUGUGCGGUCAGGGUGGUCCUCGGCGUCAAAGAUGAGGGGCGUGCUGGACCACUUCAGCGGCUUCUGAGCGUCGAACGAGGGCUCCGCUGCUGUGAUCUCACGCACCCACUGUUUGAGCUGGCGGUGAGAACUAUGCAGUGAGGCGCCACCAUCGACGCACAUGGCCUAUGUAGCCUUCUGAAACUCUUGCUCGCCGGACUCGUCGUCCUCAUCAUGAUCAUCGUCUUCUUGCUUCUUGUCGCGGCCCCGAGCGGGCCUCUCUUGCUAGUUGUCCUUGUCGCGGCGGCCUCCUUGGCCGCCACGCUUCUUGCCGGAACCUUCGGCACCAUCUUGGCCCUUCUCUUUGUCCCGCCUCUCAUACUCGGCCUUUUGCUUCUCAGCAAGCAGCUCGACUUGUCGGCAGUUCUGGAGGUCGUGGCCCUUGGUGCGAUGGAUCUUGCAAUACUGCUUGUCAGAGCCCCCCAGCUUGUCGGCAGGCGCCAAGGCCCGGCAAGUGGCACACCCGGCAAUUUCCUUGUCGGGGUCGUCUGCCCUAGCCUUCUUGGUGGCGCCGGUGUUGUCGGAUCCCUCGACGGCAAGCACGGUCUUGCCCUUGCAUUUCCUGUUGCGACGCCGGCCCUUCCUCGUCGGGGCAGCGGUGUCUUCAUCAGUAGAGUCAGUUUCCGCGCCGGCGUCCUUGCCGGGGUACUUCCUUCCCUCUUCGGCCCGGGCGCAUUUGUCGGCCAGAACCUAAAGUGCGGCCACAUCCUUGACCUUGUUCAUCGCCAGCUCUUCGUGCAUCUUGCGGUUGCGCAUGUUCUGAUGGAAUGCACUAAUCACGACGGCGGGAUGAACAUCGGGGAUGUUGUACUGCACCCGGCUGAACCUCUGGAUGUACUUGCGCAGGGUUUCCCCUUCCUUCUGGGGGAUGAUGUGCAAAUCACUGGCCUGGCCAUGAGCUUGGUGGCCUCCGGUGAAGGCACCAACGAACUCAUGGCACAAAUCCCACCAGGAAGAAAUGGAAUCUGCCGGCAAGUGCGUCAACCAAGACAUGACGUUGGGCUUCAGUGCCAAUGGGAAGUAAUUGGCAAGCAUCUUGUCGUCGCGAGCUCCGGCAGCUUGCAUCGCGAUGGUGUAGAUGCUGAGGAACUCUGACAGAUGGGUCUUGCCGUUGUACUUCUCGCCGACGUCGGGCUUGAACGUGCGGUGGGACGGCCACUGGAACUGCCGCAACAACGGGUAAAGGCUGGGCAACCCACCUUGUAAGGUAGGCCGCCGGAGCCCCCCGGUGUUGGGUGGUCCAUAGCGGGUCUCGCCCGCUUAUCCGACUGGUGGCGUGUAUCGCGCCGGCGCUCGAUAGUGGUUCGAGCGUCUUCAUGGGCUCGCUCCCGAAGAACUUGGCGUUGAUCGCGGUGGGUCCGUGGGUCGGACGACGCUAUGGAAAUGUCAUCACAAGCAUCAUCGCAACGGACCGACACCCGCGGCGGCUGGUGAGGAGGAGAAGAGUGCACCAUGGCCGCACGACCCCCGGCCCCUCCACACUGGCAUGCGGUGGUUCGACGGAGCGCCGGCCCGAGGGCCCCUCCGGUCACGGAUCAUCUUUAUUGGCGAUGGCAAUGAGGCUCCGGAUGGUGGCUCUCCAUUUGUCGAGCUUCUCCGCAGUAGGAGGGAAGUCGAGGAGCAGUUGCGCGCGCGCCAAAGAUUCUGCUGGCGUGGGUGGUGGCGACAGCUGCGUGGACCGUGGCGCGCUUCGACUUCUAACCACGUUAGAAGGAGCUCUAUCACGGCCCAGCGGCUGCGUGCCAUUUUUGCCAGCACUUUGGCGGGCAUCCUGGACUCCUUCGUCCCGCAGAUGAUGCACGGGACUCUUCCCACGGCGGCGUCCGGGGUCUCCAGCGUGGUGGCGCUGCUCGUCGCGCGCACCCUGGGAAGAGUGCAUUGUGGGCGCCGGCGUAGGCGUCUUGGAGGCCGCUGCGCCGCCCGUAGGGGGCACAAUGACGCCCCUGGAGGGCCCCGCGCUGCAUGCGAGGGGCCCAGCCCCGUCUUUCGGUCUGGCGGUGUGCGGCUCGUCGUCUGGCGCACGAACGACGCCGCUCGCCAGGCUCUGACUGCCGGGGCGAUGCUGGUGCUCGCGGGCCGCGGCUCGGGUUCUGUCCGCGACCGGCCCGCUGCUCGCCCGCACUGGCGCGGUCCGCUCGGCUCCCGACGAGCCGAUUGCCGUAAUCGUCUUCUUAUUGGGAGCCAUGGCGAUGAAGAACUGCUAGGCUAACUGCUAGACCAGAUUCUCACAACUGCGCCCCUACCUGGCGCGCCAAAGAUGUCGUUUAGAACUACACCUAUGAGAUCACUGGAAUCCCUUCUACGGUCGGCGGGCGCGGGGUUGUGAGGAGAGCGGGUCCAGGAGCCAGCACAAGGAUCAUUUACCCAGGUUCGGGCCGCGAGAAUCCGUAAAACCCUAGUCCUGCUUUGGUGGAUGUAUUGAGUGUUCUUGAGCUUCUGAACUAGCUACCGUGGCUGCGUAGUUCCAAAAAGCCGAAUCCCCCUCCUGGUCGCCUCAGGCCUCCUUUUAUAGGAAAAAGGGGUUGCCACAGUGGCACACAGGAGGUGGAAAGGCCUACAGUGCGUGAGCUUAUCGCACGUAUUACAGGACAAGACCCAUUUAAUGCGUCGCUUAGUUGUCCCUUAGCUUUAUCGGGGACGGGAACGAGGCCCGUUGAUACGUCUCCGUCGUAUCUACUUUUCCAAACACUUUUGCCCUUGUUUUGGACUCUAACUUGCAUGAUUUGAAUGGAACUAACCCGGACUGGCGCUGUUUUCAGCAGACUUUCCAUGGUGUUAUUUAUGUGCAGAAACAAAAGUUCUCGGAAUGACCUGAAACUCCACGGAACGUCUUUUUGGAAAAUAUUAAAAAUAAUGGAAGAAAAAUCCAAGUCAGGGGGCCCACACCCUGUCCACGAGGGUGGGGGCGCGCCUGCCCCCCUGCCUCGUGGGCCCCGUGACACUCCACCGACCUCAACUCCAACUCCAUAUAUUCACUUUCGGGGAGAAAAAAUUAGAGAGAAGGAUUCAUCGCGUUUUACGAUACGGAGCCGCCGCCAAGCCCUAAAACCUCUCGGGAGGGCUGAUUUGGAGUCCGUUCGGGGCUCCGGAGAGGGGGAUUCAUCGUCGUCGUCGUCAUCAACCAUCCUCCAUCACCAAUUUCAUGAUGCUCACCGCCGUGCGUGAGUAAUUCCAUCGUAGGCUUGCUGGACGGUGAUGGGUUGGAUGAGAUCUAUCAUGUAAUCGAGUUAGUUUUGUUAGGGUUUGAUCCCUAGUAUCCACUAUGUUUUGAGAUUGAUGUUGCUAUGACUUUGCUAUGCUUAAUGCUUGUCACUAGGGCCCGAGUGCCAUGAUUUCAAAUCUGAAUCUAUUAUGUUUUCAUGAAUAUAUGUGAGUUCUUGAUCCUAUCUUGCAAGUCUAUAGUCACCUACUAUGUGUUAUGAUCCGGCAACCCCGAAGUGACAAUAAUUGGGACCACUCCCGGUGAUGACCAUAGUUUGAGGAGUUUAUGUAUUCACUAUGUGUUAAUGCUUUGGUCCGGUACUCUAUUAAAAGGAGGCCUUAAUAUCCCUUAGUUUCCAUUAGGACCCCGCUGCCACGGGAGGGUAGGACAAAAGAUGUCAUGCAAGUUCUUCUCCAUAAGCACGUAUGACUAUAUUCGGAAUACAUGCCUACAUUACAUUGAUGAAUUGGAGCUAGUUCUGUGUCACCCUAUGUUAUGACUGUUACAUGAUGAACCGCAUCCGGCAUAAUUCUCCAUCACCGAUCCAAUGCCUACGAGCUUUUCACAUAUUGUUCUUCGCUUAUUAACUUUUCCGUUGCUACUGUUACAAUAGCUACGAAACCCAAAAAUAUUACUUUUGCUACCGUUACCGUUACUUCCAUAUUACUUUGCUACUAAAUACUUUGCUGCAGAUACUAAGUUAUCCAGGUGUGGUUGAAUUGACAACUCAACUGCUAAUACUUGAGAAUAUUCUUUGGCUCCCCUUGUGUCGAAUCGAUAAAUUUGGGUUGAAUACUCUACCCUCGAAAACUGUUGCGAUCCCCUAUACUUGUGGGUUAUCAAGACUAUCUUCUGGCGCCGUUGACGGGGAGCAUAGCUCUAUUCUUUGAGUCACUUUGGAUUUAUAUCUGCUGGUCACUAUGAAGAACUUGAAAGACGAGAAAACAAAAAUCUAUCCCUCAACUACGAGGGGAGGUAAGGAACUGCCAUCUAGCUCUGCACUUGAUUCACCUUCUGUUUUGAGUAAGCUUGCGACACCUAAACCUGCUUCUGCUAUUCGUUCUGAUAUGUCGCAUGUUAUUGAUGAUGCCACUUCUGCUAUGCAUGAUACUUAUGAUGAAACUACUUCUAUGCUUGAUACUACUGUGCCACUUGAUGAAUUUCUUGAUGAACAACUUGCUAGGGUUAGAGAGAAUGAAAUUAUUGAAACUGAUAGCAUUGAUGAAAGUGAUGAUGAAGACUCUCCCCCUAAUAAAUAUGAAUUGCCUGUUGUUCCUGAGGGUUAUGUCUUGGAAAAAGAAGCUGCUAUAGCUAUUUUAGCUUGCAAAGAUAGAUAUGAGCUCAAGAGGUUAUUAGCUAAAUGGAAGCAGCAAUCUCUUAAUGCUAGAAUGAAACCUGGCCCUGCUUUUGCUAAUUCACCUAUCUGUGUUACUGAUAAGGACUAUGAAUUCUCUGUUGAUCCUGAUGUAAUUACUUUGGUUGAAUCUGAUCCUUUUCAUGGCUAUGAAUCUGAAACUGUUGUGGCACAUCUUACUAAAUUAAAUGAUAUAGCCACCUUGUUCACUAAUGAUGAGAAACCUCGCUACCUAUAUAUCCUUAAAAUAUUUCCGUUCUCAUUAAAGGGUGAUGCUAAGAUAUGGUUUAAUUCUCUUGAUCCUGGAUGUGUGCGUAGUCCCCAGGAUAUGAUUUAUUACUUCUCUGCUAAAUAUUUCCCUGCUCAUAAGAAACAAGCUGCUUUAAGGGAAAUAUAUAAUUUUGUGCAAACUGAAGAAGAGAGUCUCCCACAAGCUUGGGGGAGGCUUCUCCAGUUACUUAAUGCUUUGCCUAAUCAUCCUCUUAAGGAAAAUGAAAUACUUGAUAUCUUUUAUAAUGGACUAACCGAUGCUUCCAGAGAUUACCUGGAUAGUUGUGCUUGUUCUGUUUUCAGGGGAAGAACACCAGACGAAGCUGAACUAUUGAAUAAUAUUUUCACAAAUGAAAAUAAUUGGACACUUCCUGAGCCAAUUCCUGAGCCUAUUCCUAAACCAACUCCGAAGAAGAGAGGUGUUCUAUUUCUCAGUCCUGAAGAUAUGCAAGAGGCAAAGAAAUCUAUGAAAGAAAAAGGUAUUAAAGCUGAAGAUGUUAAGAAUUUACCUCCUAUUGAAGAAAUACAUGGUCUUAAUUUACUGCCUGUUGAAGAAACAUAUGAUCUUAAUCCAUCACCUAUUGAAGAAACUCAUGGUCUUGAUAACCCGACACGGGUAGUAAAGGUAAAUUCUCUCAAUAGAUAUGAUAAAGCUGAAAUCCCUCCUACUAAAAUUGCUAGCCAUUGUCUGGAUGAGUUUGAUAACUUUAUUGUCAAACAAGAAAACUUCAAUGCUUAUUUUGGUAGACAAUUGAAAUACAAUUCCGAUAUGCUUGAACACUUGAGUAAUUAUAUGGCUAAUGUUAAAGGUGAACUUAAACUCAUUAGUAAACAUGCUUCUAUGGUUACCACUCAAGUAGAAAAAGUACUUAAAGCUCAAAGUGAUUUGCUCAAUGAAUUGAAUAGUAAGAAAAAUGAUUAUGCUGUUAGAGUGGCUACUAGAACUGGUAAAAUGUCUCAGGAACCUUUGUAUCCUGAAGGCCACCCUAGGAGAAUUGAACAAGAUUCUCAGAGAAAUAAUAAGGAUGCACCUAGUCCUUCUAAAAAGAAGAAAAAGAAAAAUGAUAGGACUUUGCAUACUUCUAGUGAACCUAUUGCUGAACCACCUGAGAAUGCAAAUGAUAUUUCUAUUUCUGAUGCUAAAACACAAUCUGGUAAUGAACAUGAACCUAGUGAAAAUGUUAAUGAUAAUGUUCAUGAUGAUGCUCAACCUAGCAAUGAUAAUGAUGUAGAAAUUGAACCUGCUGUUGAUCUUGAUAACCCACAAUCAAAGAAUCAACAUUAUGAUAAGAGAGACUUUGUUGCUAGGAAACAUGGUAAAGAAAGGGAGCCAUGGGUUCCGAAACCCAUGCCUUUUCCUCCCAAACCAUCCAAGAAAAAGUAUGAUGAGGAUUUUGAGCGCUAUGCUGAAAUGAUUAGACCUAUCUUUUUGCGUAUGCGUUUGACUGAUAUGCUCAAAAUGAAUCCUUAUGCUAAGUAUAUGAAAGAAAUUGUCACUAAUAAAAGAAAGAUGCCGGAGGCUGAAAUUUUCACCAUGCUUGCUAAUUAUACUUUUAAGGGUGGAAUACCAAAGAAACUAGGAGAUCCAGGGGUACCAACUAUACCAUGCUCCAUUAAAAGAAACUAUGUUAAAACUGCUUUAUGUGAUCUUGGAGACGGUGUUAGUGUUAUGCCUCUCUCUUUAUAUCGUAGACUUGACUUGAAUAAGUUCACACCUACUGAAAUAUCUUUGCAAAUGGCUGAUAAAUCAACUGCUAUACCUGUCGGUAUUUGUGAGGAUGUGCCUGUUGUGGUUGCAAACGUUACUAUUUUAACAGACUUUGUUAUUCUUGAUAUUCCUGAGGACGAUAGUAUGUCUAUUAUUCUUAGAAGACCUUUUUUGAAUACUGCAGGGGCUGUUAUUUAUUGCAACAAAGGCAAUGUCAUUUUUCAUGUUAAUGGUAAUGAGCAUAUGGUACACUUUCCGAGGAAACAACCUCAAGUUCAUAGUAUCAAUUCUAUUGGAAAAAUUCCAUCGAUUAUUUUUGGAGGUUUUGAAUUUCCUCUUCCUACUGUCAAAAAGAGAUAUGAUAUUCUUAUUAUUGGGGAUGUGCAUAUCCUGGUUGAGGUAACAUAGUGUUAUUCAAAAUUUCUCCGGUUCCAUGUUAUUCGGAAUGAGUUUGUUAACAAGACUUGAUCAACCUUGUUAGUGGAUUCCUUCUGAUGAGCAUGAGAUGGAUGAAACUAGAAGGCACAACCUUCUGUACCCUCUUUCUACUUUCUGUUAUUUAGUUGAAAUAAAGCAAAAAUAGUAUUUUUCUGUCUGUUUUCUGAAUUAUCCGUGCAAUAUAAAAAUACCCCGAAAAUAAAAGUUCUCCAAAUGCCCUGAAAAUGGAAUAUGAUUUUUUCUAGAAUAUUUGAGAAUAUCUGGCACUGAGAACAUGGCAGGGGGAGCAAGCACCUGGCCACGAGGGUCCAGGGCGCGCCCCCUGCCUCGUGGGCCCAUGGUGGCUCCCCUCCACUUAUUCCUGCACCCACACACUUCUUCUUCCUCCCAAAAAAAUCACCAUCCAGCUCAAGCACGAGUUCUAGCUCAUUUUGCUGCGAUUUUCGAUCUCCUUGCUCAAAGCACCUCUCACAAAACUGCUUGGGGGGAUUGUUCCUUGGUAUGUGACUCCUCCAUUAGUCCAAUUAGUUUUGUUCUAGUGCUUUAUUCAUUGCAAAUUUAUGCUGCCUAGGUGACCAUGUUCUUGAGCUUGCAUGUCAAAUUUGUAUGGUUCCAAGUAGUUCUAAUGCUUGAUAAAGGCUAUAGGCACUUGUAGGAGUAGUUGCUAUCAAUUUUGUUGAGCUUGGUUCAUUUUUAUUUGAAGUUACUAAAAAUUUCGGAAAUUUUUCAGAGGGAGAAAUAUGCUUAGGAAAAUGUUCCAAGGUGGUUCUUCAAGGAAGCAUGACCCAGGCUUGCAAUGCGUGAUGCUGACGAUGAGCCACCAAGGGACGCUCCAGUGCGGCCUUGUGAAUGGCCUUCAGAAAACUUUAUGGAUCAAGCGGGAAUCAAGGAAGAAUUUAACGCAUAUUUGCGUAAUGCUGAUCUUGUGAGCUUCGAGGAAGAAAAGUGCCGCCAGUACCACUAUCUCACUAGUUCCUUUGUGAGGAGGUUUGAAUUUUCAUCUUCACGUAAUUCUCCAACUGUCCUGUUUGAUCUCUAUGAAAAAUCUUACACUAUGGACUUAGAGGAUUUCACCACUGCUUGCAAACUUCCACAAUGGGGUAGUGCUAGUGAACCCUGCAAAUCUGAAUUUAGAGAUUUUCUUGCUAGUAUAACUGUGGGGGAAUCUAGAGAUAUAGCACAAGCUACCAUCGGGAGCAUUCAUUUUACUGCUAUACAUUAUUUUGCUCUCUUCAUAGGUAGGUGCAUAAAUGGUAAAGAUGAAGCAUGUCAUAUGUGUGUCCCUGACCUCAGUAUUCUUAGGAGUGAUGUGUUAGGAGACAAAUCUUAUAAUUUGGGAGCCAUUGUUGCGCGUAGGUUGCAUCACAAUAGAUUUAAUGGAGAUUUCUUUGGUGGAAUUUAUGCAACCCGCUUAGCUGAUUUUCUUGGUGUAACCAUACGUAAUGAUGAUAUUGAAUUGCCUCCUACUUAUUUAGACUUUAAUGCUAUGGUUCACCACCAGUUUGUUGAGAGGAAUGAAUCACCUCUCCGGUAUCGCUUAAUCUUUGACAGACGUUGUGUUGUCCGUAUUACUCUCCCUGCUCCUGCCUUCUUUGAUUAUCAGGCAAAAGGAAGACAUUUUAUUACCAGAGAGGAGGCAGAUGAGUACGAGAGGAGGGCGGAGGCAGCUCACCGCCACGCUGCAGCUCAGGAGGCAAUAACCGCCGCAUCGCAGUAUGACCCCGGCUACAACUAUGGAUAUCUGCCAGGCCAUCCGUGGCAAUAAACCAACUUAGGCCAAAAGCCUAAGCUUGGGGGAGUAUGUAUUUCUCACUGACAUUACAUUUAUAUUCCCACACACUCAUUGCUAGAUGUCGGUGCUCAUACUCUUUCACUAUAAUAUCCAUGCUAGUUUAUUUUCCUUUUUCCUGCUUUCUUCUUGUGUGUUUGAUAAACCUUAAGAAAAACGAAAAAAAUAGUGUAGUUUUUAGUUAGUUUACUUUUCUUGCUGUAGUCCAAUGCACGUGCACUCUUAUUAUUAUUCACAUCGUUCGGUCGUGCAAGUGAAAGGCAAUUAUGACAAUAUAUGAUGGACUGACUGAGAUGAGAAAAGCUGGUAUGAACUCGACCUCUCUUGUUUUUGUAAAUAUGAUUAGUUCAUCGUUCCUGAUUCAACCUAUUGUGAAUAAACAUGAUUGCAAUGACAAUUAGAGAUCAUAGUUGCUCAUGCCAUGCUUGAUUAGCUAUGAGUUAUAAUGGUUUACCUUGCAUGCCAACAUGCUAUUAAAAUGGUUGUGAUGUGCUAUAGUGGGGUGGUAUCCUCCUUUGAAUGAUUUAAGUGACUUGACUUGGCACAUGUUCACACAUGUAGUUGAAACAAAUUAACAUAGCCUUCACGAUAUUUAUGUUCAUGGUGGAUUAUAUCCUACUCAUGCUCGUACUCAAUGUCUAUUAAUUUUAAUGCAUGUUCAUGACUGUUGUCGCUCUCUGGUUGGUUGCUUCCCAGUCUUUUGCUAGCCUUCACUUGUACUAAGCGGGAAUACUGCUUGUGCAUCCAAUCCCUUAAACCCAAAAGUUAUUCCGUAUGAGUCCACCAUACCUUCCUAUAUGCGGUAUCUACCUGCCGUUCCAAGUAAAUUUGUAUGUGCCAAUCUCUAAACCUUCAAAUGAAAUUCUGUUUUGUAUGCUCGAAUAGCUCAUGUAUCAACUAGGGUUGUCCGUAUCUUCCAUGCUAGGUGGGUUAUUCUCAAGAGGAGUGGACUCCGCUCCUCAUUCACGAGAAAAUGGCUGGUCACCGGGAUGCCCAGUCCCAUGCUUUAUGCAAAUCAAAUCAAAAUAAUUACAAACAAAACUCCCCCUGGGACUGUUGCUAGUUGGAGGCACUCGUUGUUUCGAGCAAGCCAUGGAUUGAUGCUUGUUGGUCGAGGGGGAGUAUAAACUUUACCAUUCUGUUUGGGAACCGCCUAUAAUGUGUGUAGCAUGGAAGAUAUCACCAUCUCUUGGUUGUUAUGUUGACAAUGAAAGUAUACCGCUCAAAAUAUUAUUUAUCUCUAUUUCAAAAUUGAGCUCUGGCACCUCUACAAAUCCCUGCUUCCCUUUGUGAAGGGCCUAUCUAUUUACUUUCAUGUUGAGUCAUCACCCUCUUAUUAAAAAGCACUAGCUGGAGAGCACAGCUGUCAUUUGCAUUCAUUACUAUUAAUUUAUAUUGGGUAUGACUAUGACUGGAUCUCUUUUACCAUGAAUUACAAUGUCUAGUCAGUCCUUGAUCUUUAAAGGUGCUCUACAUUUAUGUUUUGCGGUCUCAGAAAGGGCUAGUGAGAUACCAUCUUAUUAUAUCAUAUCAUGAUUGUUUUGAGAAAGUGUUGUCAUCCGAGAUUUAUUAUUAUGGCUCGCUAGUUGAUUAUGCCAUUGAUAUGAGUAAACAUGAGACCUAAGAGUUAUUGUGAAUGUGGUUAGUCAUAAUCUUUGCUGAAAACUUGAAUGCUGGCUUUACAUAUUUACAACAACAAGAGCAAACAGAGUUUGUAAAAGUUUUUCUUUAUCACUUUCAGUUUAUCAACUGAAUUGCUUGAGGACAAGCAAAGGUUUAAGCUUGGGGGAGUUGAUACGUCUCCGUCGUAUCUACUUUUCCAAACACUUUUGCCCUUGUUUUGGACUCUAACUUGCAUGAUUUGAAUGGAACUAACCCGGACUGACGCUGUUUUCAGCAGACUUUCCAUGGUGUUAUUUAUGUGCAGAAACAAAAGUUCUCGGAAUGACCUGAAACUCCAUGGAACGUCUUUUUGGAAAAUAUUAAAAAUACUGGAAGAAAAAUCCACAUCAGGGGGCCCACACCCUGUCCACGAGGGUGGGGGCGCGCCCCCUGCCUUGUGGGCCCCCUGACGCUCCACCGACCUCAACUCAAACUCCAUAUAUUCACUUUCGGGGAGAGAAAAAUCAGAGAGAAGGAUUCAUUGCGUUUUACGAUACGGAGCCGCCGCCAAGCCCUAAAACCUCUCGGGAGGGCUGAUCUGGAGUCCGUUCAGGCCUCCGGAGAGGGGGAUUCGUCGCCGUCGUCAUCAUCAACCAUCCUCCAUCACCAAUUUCAUGAUGCUCACCGCCGUGCGUGAGUAAUUCCAUCGUAGGCUUGCUGGACGGUAAUGGGUUGGAUGAGACCUAUCAUGUAAGCGAGUUAGUUUUGUUAGGGUUUGAUCCCAAGUAUCCACUAUGUUCUGAGAUUGAUGUUGCUAUGACUUUUCUAUGCUUAAUGCUUGUCACUAGGGCCCGAGUGCCAUGAUUUCAGAUCUGAACCUAUUAUGUUUUCAUGAAGAUACUUGAGUUCUUGAUCCUAUCUUGCAAGUCUAUAGUCACCUACUAUGUGUUAUGAUCCGGCAACCCCGAAGGGACAAUAAUCGGGACCACUCCCGCUGAUGACCAUAGUUUGAGGAGUUCAUGUAUUCACUAUGUGUUAAUGCUUUGGUCCAGUACUCUAUUAAAAGGAGGCCUUAAUAUCCCUUAGUUUCCAUUAGGACCCCGCUGCCACGGGAGGGUAGGAAAAAAGAUGUCAUGCAGGUUCUUUUCCAUAAGCAUGUAUGACUAUAUCCGGAAUACAUGCCUACAUUACAUUGAUGAAUUGGAGCUAGUUCUGUGUCACCCUAUGUUAUGACUGUUACAUGAUGAACCGCAGUUGGCAUAAUUCUCCAUCACUGAUCCAAUGCCUACGAGCUUUUCACAUAUUGUUCUUCGCUUAUUUACUUUUCCGUUGCUACUAUUACAAUCACUACAAAACCCAAAAAUAUUACUUUUGCUACUUGUCGUGGAAUUGUCACGGCAGAUGUCCUCGAGCUAGGACUUAGUCGUGGAGCCAUCGCAACUAGGAAGCUUGAAGGGGUUAAUGUGGGACAAGGAACACGAGGGUUUAUACUGGUUUGGCCCCUUACGGUGAAGGUAAAAGCCUACGUCCAGUUGAGAUGGUAUUGAUUAGGGUUACGAUCACCAGGGAGCUAAACUGCUAUGCCCGGCUCUCGAUGAGAUUGUUGUCAUCCCUCAACCGCUGCCGGGUCGUCCCUUUAUAUAGGGAGGCUGACGCCCAGCAGCCCUCAGAGCCCCGGCCGGCUCAUAAGAGCGUCCGGCUCGGACUCUCAAUCAUACUUGCCUUGCACUACAAGUUCUACCAUAACAACGAUUGUAACUACGGGCCCUAAGCCAUAUCCGGGUCUUAAGCCCAUCUCUGGCCCACCGUCUUCAAGCUUGGCUCCGGGCUUCUGGUAAUGACCAUUGGAGUAACCCGGCCCCUCCUGGCAGGUGACUCUAAGGUCUAUAUCCUCAACAUUAGGCCCCAGAUUGAUUUGAGCCGGCUCAUGUCAAUCUUCAACUCUGCCGACAGAAAAAAUCUCCGGCUUACUAUUCAUGUGAAGGCCAUAACCCGGCGUGACGUCAUCCUCUGGUCUCCGGAUAAUCCGCCGUGACGUCAUCUUCCAUUAAGCCCGUUUUUUACUCCACCAGAUCCGCAACGGAUCUUUGCUUUUACUGUCAUCCCGAAAAUCGAGGCGCCGUGGGGGGGAGAUAACCACGCCGUGGUCUCCUUGAAUCUCGCGCCCACUUAUGACCUUGCCUUAUAAAUAGGCCGGCCCGACGGGCUUCUCUGCCACUCUUCUUCCUCCUCGCGCCGCUGCCUCUCUCCCUGAGCUCGCACUUCGCCGCCGUCGUCUCGCCUCCGGUCUUCGUCAACCUUGGCCGCUACAUCACCCUGACUCGGACCAGAUAAACGGCGGCGACUCCCGCACCUCUUCAGCUCCGGUAAGUUCUCACUACCCUGUAGAGUAGAUCUGCAGUAGGGUUCAUCCACGUUCUUCGUGUUCGUCACCAUUGCCCGCAAGUUCGGUAGUUCUCCUAGUUACUGCUCCUGCUUGAUCUUAGGCCUGCAUAGAACUAGUGCGGUAGUUGUUUUAAGAUCCAUUUCACACGCAAGUAGCCUUCCUUGUACUGCAUAAGAACCUUGUUCGAACCCAAGAACUCCCUCACUUCCGUUUCUAGGUCUAGAAAUUUUUUCCUUUGCCCGACCAUUUUGAUCCAAAAAAGUUACUGCAAUAUGUGAAACCUGUUUUACCACACUUAGUAAAAACUGCAACCAUUCAACCUUGGCAGCUUACAAUUCCGGUUUAAAGAAACCACGCGCCAUAGAAUCCUCCGGCUUUAAAGAAAACCAUGCUUCGUAGAAUCCUCCGGCUUAACUGUGGUAAGGCCGUAGAUAACCAACUUACUCUGAAUGCCCCUGUGGCUUAAAUAACCCACUGUACCAGAGUAUAUAUCAUUAGUCCCCUUCAUAAGCCGCCACCUUAGUUGUGAAUUGUAGAUCUCCGGCUUAAAAUUAACCCGGACAUUUUUCCUUUUUGUCAUAGACUGCCAACUUUCACCAUGCCUCCUAAGGCUCCCAUCACUUGCAACUGGAUGAGGUCCAACGUCACCAACGAGACCCUAGCCAAUUUUGUUAAGUCCGGAUAUCUGCCUAAGAAAGAAGUCAUGUCCUACCGUGCCCCUGACCCGUCAGAAGAGAGACCACAGCCAAAGGAUGGGGAGGUAGUGAUUUUCGCAGAUCACAUGAGCCGGGGCUUCGCACCGCCCGGCUCAAAGUUUUUUAGGGACGUGCUCAACUUCUUCGACUUGCGGCCUCAAGAUAUAGGCCCCAAGUCAGUGUCCAACAUCUGCAAUUUCCAAGUCCUCUGCGAAGUUUAUCUUGGAGAAGAGCCUAGUCUGCUGCUCUUCAGAGAGCUUUUUUACUUAAACCGCCAGAAUGAGUGCGCCAACGGACCAAGUCUGGAGUUAGGUGGCAUUUCCAUCCAGCGGCGUAGGGAUUGUCUUUUCCCUUACGUAGAGCCACCGAGCCACCCCAAGGACUGGAACAUGACUUGGUUCUACUGCCAAGAUACGUCCCCGGCUGAUGAAAGCCCGCUGCCCGGCUUUCGCCCAACACGUCUGGAGCCGACUCACCCACUGUCGGACAAGCUGACUCAAGCGGAGCACCAGCCUCUGCUUCCUACUAUCAACAAAAUCAAGGCCCUCCUGGGCAACGGUCUGAACGGAAUUGACCUGGUCCGGGUCUGGAUCUCCUGGCGGGUGAUCCCAUUGAGCCGCCGCCCCGGCUUAAUGUGUGAGUACACAGGGCAAAAGGAUGACCCUCAGAGGCAUAGCCGCAAUGAUCUUCCAGAAGACGUUGCAGAGGAGGAGACCAAGGCUCUUUUAAACGAGAGCCUGGCAGACUGCGGAAGGACCGGGUUAGCCCCCUUCUACAAGACCAAUCCACCCCCAGCGGUAAGCCGCUGACUUUAACCUUUUAUCUUCGUCUGCAUAUAACCUUCAUCUGAACCGUUUUAAGAAUUCGUCAUUGUAUUUUUCAGGCUGAUGAUAAGUUCUGGCGGGUCAAAUAUGACCAUGAGGCGGCCAAGAAAGCCAGGAAGGCGAAGAAAGCCGCCCCUCGCAAAAAAGGAAGCAGGCCUACUGCUUCGGAGCUGAUGCAAUUAAGCGACAGCUCCGAGUCAGAGGUAACUCCUGAGCAUUUAAGUCCUUAUUAUAUUCACUGUUUGUUGCUGUCCGCCUUAUCAAUACUUGCUCAUUGACAGGAUGACACCGGCGCAAGUAACCCAGUGGUUGAAGAGGUAAUGUCGCUUUCCUCCGACUCGGAGCCCUUGCCACAGCUGAAAGUCCGAAGGGUAACCCGGAAAGUAAGCUUUUCACAUCCUUUAGCUUACCAAGACCCUCAAUUUAUUUUGAAGCGACAGGUUCAUGAAAGCCGGCGUCACACCCGGACCAACAAGGACACCGAUCUCUCCGCCGGGCUACCCGACGCAACAAGGAAGCGUCGAACUGAGGUUUUUUCUCACUUGUACCCUUUUCAUCCGUUGGCGGGUGUUAUCCGUCAGCCACUCAAUUCUUCUGACUCCAAUUAUCAGGAGACCUCCCCUUCUUCGGGCGACUCUAUGCAGUCGAGUCUUCCGGCUUUCAAGACCACGCCCGGGUAAUGACAACCAUCUUACAUUAUAUUUGUCUGUACUUACUCUUUGUGUGCUUAACACUUCUGUCCUUUCAGUGCUCAGGCAAAACUCACCAAAAGAGCAAAGAAGACCAGAUCAGCCGGAGUGCCGGAUUUGCCUGAACCGGAGGUGACGGCUCAAGAACCGCCAGCUGCCUCCGCCCCCGAAGCCACCACUCCAAUGGACACGGCACCUGAAGCCGCUGCCCUAACUACCAAGACAACAACCGAAGCAUCGGUUAACCCGGAGGCCUCCGGCUCAGCUCCACCAGCAGAUGACCCGGACGUGGUAAUCACCCGGACAGAGUUUGUUGAGCCGGGGAGACCGACCGUGUUGGCCAAGUGCUCCGCUAAGGGGGAGCUGCUGCUGCCCUACCGGGCGAAUCUGGCCCUCUCCAACUACAGCAACCUGAGCAUUGGAGAGCUCGUCUCUGGCUACAUCAGCCAAGUACACAAGAGCCGGGACGCCGAGGUCGCCAUGGUAAACCAGAUCCAGCAAAAAUCUGAGGUAUCCUUCUGUUAUCUUCUUACUUACUACAUAGUUAUCUUUGCCAUGCUAGCCCCCAAGUCGACGACUUAUGAUUUGAAUAUGUUGUAGACUUAGGUUCCGGCUUACUCAAUUGAGCCGGCUGUAUGUAGAUAGAUACGUUCAAUAUGCAUUAGCCCCCAAGUGCCAAGUAUCUUUGCUUGGAAAGUGCUUGGGACUUAUAUAGUAACUGCUCAUGUCAUAACCCGAAAAUUUAUACAGGCUGUUGGCAAGAAACUAGAGUCGGACCUUGCGGAUCUCAAGAGCCGGCUGAAGACGCAGGAGAUGGAGACCCGGAAGGCAAACGCCAAGUUUGUCUCCAGCAUCGCCGCUCAAGAGAAGCUGAAGACAGAAUUUGAUGCUGAGCGGAAGGCCUGGGCUGAAGAGAAGGCCGCACUGGUGCCCGGGCAGAACAGGCGGAGAAGACUCUCUCUGAGAAGACCGCCGAGCUCUCCGGCCUAAAGCGCGAGGUUUGCCAAAUGGUGGCCGCCAUCUUCGGUAAGUCGCCUCACCGGCUUUCAUCAAUGUUAGAAUGUUUAUAUCUCAUGAUUCAUCCUUGUCGCCGACUUACUUGAUUCUGUUAAACAGGUCCCAGAAGUGCCAACCUCAACCAGAGCAUGGUCACCAAGCUAAAGGCCGUGUAUACCCUGGCGGAGCAGCUCUACACCGGGUCACAGCGUGCCUUAGCUGUGGUGGCCCUCUCCAACGAGGUGCCGACUCACCUGGCAGAAGUCCUGCGCCGGCUCGCCGUUCUGCCUCAGCGGAUCCAAGAGCUGCGACGGGCUUCUGCGAGAGCCGGAGCGAUCGCCGCGCUGAGCCGGGCCAAGGCAUUCCUGCCGGAGUUAGACCCGGCGGACAUCUCCCUUGGCUAUCCAAGCCUAAAGGAAGACGGCUCAGCUUUCGAUCAGAAGGACUUCGCGGCGUGCGUGAAGGCUGUACGCCCGGUGGCCACCCUCAUCGGGAACGACACAGAUCUGACCAAGUACCAGCCGGGUAAUGACGCGGAGAAUCAGAGGAUUCCAACCCCUCGCUAUGAAGCCCUCAACCUGAUCCCGCCGGCUCGUCAGCACACCUUCGCCCCGGAGAUUGACCCGGCCGGGUUAAUUGACGAGGAAGCCCAAUUCGAGGCUCUCCGCGGCAUCGACUGGAAGUCAUCAACCUUCCAGGUCUUGGGAUCAGCCAGAGGAGAGGACAGGAACGAGCCGGAGACUUCCACUCAGCGGGCAUCGUAACUCGGCUGGCGGUUUACCAAACAAUGCUCCACCCUUUUUAGACUUGAUGAGUUUUGUAAUAGAGUAGGUGCAACAGUCUAUCUCUGCCGUGCCAUCGUGCACGUAUUGAAUGCCAAGGUCUUUUGAAAUUGUCUCUUUGAUGUUUCUCUGGGUCAUAAUCAUCCCUUUGUUUUUCUCAACCUGAAAGAGGUGCCUUUAAGUAUCCUGCACAGAAAGGCAAAUCACAAGUCUCGAGGCGGCUUACCACCCUGAGAAUCAGGUGUUUUGGAUAGAUAACCCGGAAUAUGAAUCAAAAAAGACUGGUCCUCAAUUAUAUCCUUAACACAGCCGUAAUAACACCCUUAGCGGCCUGUAAACAUACUUCCGGUUUAGAGAACCCGGGUAACCAGGUUGGUAUCUUAACUCCGAGUUACCUGUCUUUAUGACACCCAUGGUGUUCAACUAACACUGUAAACCAAAGUUAAGCCGGCCAAGCGAGACCCGGCCGUACACACCUGGACAUCAUCAGAGUAAACUUGUGAUAGAACAUAGGAACUUAGGGGCUUCCAGUUCGAAUACCACCAGAAACCCGGCCCAAAGGGGUUAGGCUAAGAUUCGGAUACGAUCACAUAGCCCCCAGUGGGUGUGGCGAUGCCAAUCAAGAGGGUACCGAUAGCUAUGUUCUCUUUGGUUCGAAUACGACCCAUGUUUGAACAGGAAGCCCCCAAGUGAUUUCAAGAAUUGUUUAACGACGCUGAUUCGAAUACGAUCCACGUCGGUUCUCAGAGGGGUUAAACUAUGAUUCAAAUAUGACCAAAGGUAAUUUCCCAAUGAGCUUGGCACUUUGCCAAUCAAAUGGGUAUUGACAGCUAUGUUCUCUUUGGUUCGAAUACGACCCAUGUUUGAACAGGAAGCCCCCAAGUGACUUUACUGCUUACGGCUAAAUUCGAAGACGAUCAUAAGCCGGAUCCUCCUUUAGAUCAUCAUGUAAUCUUGCAAUGAGAACAAUACGUGUAUAUUUGGAGGAGAAAAAAGGACAGAGGUCCUGCUUUAUUGCUUAUCAUAAUAUAUACAUGGCUAAGAGAAGUAUGUACACCACGAGAGCCGGUGGCUCAAGUGUAAUAAGGCCGAAGCUGAGCUAUGUUCCACGGCCGACGGGUCUCCUCCUCCGAUUUUCGUGAAUCUUUGUGCUCCCGAAUGUCAAUGAGGUAAUAUGACCCGUUGUGCAAGUUCUUGCUGACCACAAAGGGCCCUUCCCAAGGCGGGGAUAACUUGUGUGCAUCUGUUUGAUCCUGGAUGAGCCGGAGCACAAGGUCGCCUUCCUGGAAGACCCGGGAUUUGACCCGGCGGCUAUGAUAACGGCGCAGGUCUUGUUGGUAAAUCGCUGAACGGGCUGCUGCCACAUCACGCUGUUCGUCCAACAAGUCAAGAGCAUCUUGGCGCGCCUGUUCAUUAUCCGUCUCAACAUAAGCCGCCACGCGAGGUGAGUCGUGACGGAUGUCACUGGGGAGGACUGCUUCUGCUCCAUAAACCAUGAAGAAAGGCGUGAAGCCUGUAGACCUGUUAGGAGUAGUGUUGAUACUCCAUAAGACGGAGGGCAACUCCUCCACCCAACAACCCGGCGUCCGUUGCAAAGGGACCAAAAGCCGGGGCUUGAUGCCCUUCAGAAUCUCCUGGUUAGCUCUCUCAGCUUGACCAUUGGAUUGAGGAUGAGCCACUGAGGAAACAUCAAGUCGGAUAUGCUCUCGUUGACAAAACUCUUCCAUAACGCCUUUGGAGAGAUUGGUGCCAUUUUCGGUUAUGAUGCUGUGCGGAAAGCCGAAGCGGAAAAUCACCUGUUUCAUAAAUUGAACCGCCGUGGCUGCAUCGCACUUGCUAACUGGCUCAGCUUCCACCCACUUUGUGAAUUUAUCAACUGCCACCAAGAGGUGGGUCUUCUUAUCCUUGGACCUUUUAAAAGGCCCAACCAUAUCAAGCCCCCAGACCGCAAAGGGCCAAGUGAUUGGGAUCAUCCUCAGCUCCUGAGCCGGCACAUGAGCCCGUCGUGAGAACCUCUGGCAACCAUCACAUUUACUGACCAAGUCCUCUGCAUCAGCAUGAGCCGUCAACCAAUAAAAACCAUGACGAAAAGCCUUGGCCACAAGAGACUUUGAGCCGGCGUGAUGGCCGCAAUCCCCUUCAUGGAUCUCACGCAAGAUCUCUUGACCUUCCUCAGGGGAGACACAACGCUGAAACGCUCCUGUAACACUGUGAUGAUGUAACUCGCCAUCGAUAACAAUCAUUGACUUGGCCCGCCGGGUUAUUUGCCUGGCCAAAGUUUCAUCCUCAGGCAACUCGCCCCGGGUCAUGUAAGCCAGAUAUGGCAUUGUCCAGUCUGGUAUGAUAUGGAGAGCCGCCACCAGUUGUGCCUCCGGGUCAGGGACAGCCAAGUCUUCCUCCGUAGGCAACUUAACCGAAGGGCUAUACAGGACAUCCAGGAAAGUGUUAGGCGGCACCGGCUUUCGCUGAGAGCCUAGCCGGCUUAGGGCAUCAGCCACCUCGUUCUUCCUGCGAUCAAUGUGCUCUACUUGGUAGCCCUGAAAGUGCCAGCAAUGGCAUCAACUUCGCGGCGAUAAGCCGCCAUGGCGGGUCUUUAGAGUCCCACUUGCCGGAUACUUGUUGAGCCACCAAGUCUGAGUCACCGAAGCAUCUUACCCGGCUCAAGCUCAUUUCCUUAGCCAUCCGAAGACCGUGGAGCAAGGCCUCAUACUCAGCCGCAUUAUUAGUGCAAGGAAACAUCAACUGUAGCACAUAAUGGAACUUGUCACCUUUUGGGGAAGCCAAUACAACACCAGCCCCCGAGCCCUCCAACUGCCUGGACCCAUCGAAGUGAAUAGUCCAAUAUGUGUUAUCCGGCUUCUGCUCAGGCACUUGUGACUCUGUCCAAUCAUUGAUGAAAUCCACCAAGGCCUGAGAUUUAACAGCAGUGCGUGGCACAUAUUUGAGACCAUGAGGUCCAAGUUCUACAGCCCACUUAGCAAUUCUCCCUGUGGCCUCUCUGUUUUGGAUGAUGUCACCAAGGGGGGCAGAGCUGACCACAGUGAUGGGAUGACCCUGAAAAUAAUGCUUAAGUUUCCGGCUUGCCAUGAACACACCAUACACGAGCUUCUGCCAAUGCGGGUACCGCUGCUUGGACUCAAUGAGCACCUCGCUGACAUAAUAAACCGGCCGCUGAACCGGAUGUUCCUUACCCUCCUCCUUGCGUUCUACCACAAUGGCCACACUGACAGCUCGUGCGUUUGCCGCCACAUACAGUAGUAAGGGCUCCUUAUCAACCGGAGCAGCAAGGACUGGGGGCUCUGCCAGCUGCUUCUUCAAAUCCUCAAAGGCGGUAUUAGCUGCAUCAUUCCAGACAAAGUUAUCAGUUUUCUUCAUCAACUGAUAUAAGGGCAUGGCCUUCUCACCCAAACGGCUUAUAAACCGGCUUAAAGCAGCAAUGCGACCCGCCAAGCACUGAACGUCAUUUAUACACGCCGGUUUAGCCAGGGAGGUGAUGGCCUUGAUCUUCUCCGGGUUAGCCUCAAUGCCUCUGUCAGAAACCAAAAAGCCCAAGAGUUUGCCUGCAGGAACACCAAAGACACACUUGGCCGGGUUAAGCAUCAUCUUAUAGACCCGGAGAUUAUCAAAGGUUUCCCUUAAAUCAUCUAUCAGGGUUUCCUCUUUGAUGGACUUAACCACAAUAUCGUCCACGUAAGCGUGAACAUUACGUCCAAUCUGUUUAUGAAGACAGUUCUGUACACAACGCUGGUAAGUCGCCUGUGCACACUUGAGUCCAAAAGGCAUGGAUACAUAGCAGAAGGCUCCAAAGGGAGUAAUGAACGCUGUCUUCUCCUGGUCCUUAACUGCCAUCUUAAUCUGAUGAUAACCGGAAUAAGCAUCCAAGAAACUUAGACGUGCACAACCUGCCGUAGCAUCAAUGAUUUGGUCAAUACGGGGGAGGGCAAAAGGAUCAGCCGGACACGCCUUGUUCAAGUCCAUGUAGUCCACACACAUCCGCCAGGUGCCGUUCUUCUUGAGUACGAGCACCGGGUUAGCCAACCACUCUGGGUGAAAGACUUCAACGAUAAACCCGGCCGCCAAGAGCCGGGCCACCUCUUCACCAAUAGCUUUCCGCCUCUCUUCAUUAAACCGCCGAAGGAACUGUCUGACCGGCUUAAAUUUAGGAUCAACAUUGAGAGUAUGCUCAGCGAGUUCUCUAGGUACACUUGGCAUGUCAGAAGGUUUCCAUGCGAAGAUGUCCCUAUUCUCACGGAUGAACUCGAUGAGCGCGCUUUCCUAUUUUGGAUCCAGAUUGGCACUGAUGCUAAACUGCUGAGAUGAGUCACCUGGAACAAAAUCAACAAGUUUAGUCUCAUCAGCUGAUUUAAAUUUCAUUGCCGGCUCUUGUUCUAUAGUUGGCUUUUUCAGAGAGGUCAUAUCUGUUGGGUCAACAUUGUCCUUGUAAAACUUCAACUCCUCUGUAGCACACACAGAUUCUGCAUAAGCCGCAUCGCCUUCCUCACACUCCAGAGCCACCUUCCGGCUGCCGUGAACCGUAAUGGUCCCAUUGUGACCUGGCAUCUUGAGUUGUAACUACACAUAACACGGCCGUGCCAUGAACUUGGCGUAAGCUGGCCGUCCAAAUAUAGCAUGGUAGGGACUUCUUAUCUUGACCACCUCAAAGGUCAAUUUCUCCACCCUGUAGUUGUUUUCUUCACCAAAAGCCACUUCCAAUUCGAUCUUGCUGACUGGAUAAGCCGACUUACCAGGUACCACGCCAUGGAAGAUAGUGUUCGACUGGCUGAGGUUCUUAUCAACCAACCCCAUACGGCGAAAAGUCUCAUAAUAGAGGAUGUUGAUGCUGCUGCCUCCAUCCAUGAGCACCUUUGUGAAUUUAUAUCCUCCCACUUGAGGAGCCACCACUAAGGCCAAGUGGCCCGGGUUAUCCACCCGGGGAGGGUGAUCCUCCCUACUCCACACUAUAGGUUGCUCAGACCACCGCAAGUAGCGUGGGAUCGCCGGCUCCACAGCAUUCACAGCCCUCUUGUGAAGCUUCUGAUCUUGCUUGCACAAACUAGUGGUAAACACAUGAUACUGUCCACCGCUAAGUUGCUUUGGAUUGGUCUGAUAACCCCCCUGCUGCUGUUGAUGACCCUGGCCAGACUGUUGAUUAAAGCCCCCUUGACCGCUCUGAGGACCAGAAUUUGAGCCGCCCCCCGGGCCAUGAAAGCCGCCGGCGCCUGAGCCGCCGGCACCUGAGCCGCCGGCACCUGAGUCGCCGCCCGGGCCAUUAUAGUUCUUAAAGGCCUUCAUGAUUGCACAAUCCUUCCACGGGUGAGUCGCUGGCUUCUCUCUAGAGCCAUGCCUUGGACAAGGUUCAUUGAACAGCUGCUCCAGCGUCGGACCUGACCCGCCGCCUCGGGGAGGGGGCCUCCCCUUGCGUCGCUGGUUAUUACCUUGUGAGCUGGCGUUGGCCACAAACUCUAGGCUGCCAUCUGCCUUGCGCUUGCCUCCUCCUUGGUUCCCCGGGUUAAACUGAGGACCCUUGCCAUUGCCGUUCUUCUUUCCCUUCCCUGUCCUUUCAUCAUCUGAAGGGGGAUCCUUGGUACCAUCGGAAUCGGCGUACUUGACAAGAGCCGCCAUUAGUGUACCCAUAUCACUGCAGUCGCGCUUAAGCUGCCCGAGUUUCAUCUUCAGGGGCACGAAACGACAAUUCUGCUCUAACAUUAAGACUGCAGAGCCGGCAUCCAUCUUAUCUGACGAAUGUAUGAUCUCCUUAACUUGGCGAACCCAAUGGGUCGUGGAUUCACCCUCCUGCUGCUUACAGUUAGUCAAAUCCACAAUUGACAUAGACCGCCUACAGGUAUCUUUGAAGUUUUGGAUGAACCGGGCUUUCAGCUCAGCCCAAGACCCAAUGGAGUUCGGUGGUAGCCCUUUCAACCAAGUGCGGGCGGUCCCAUCUAACAUCAUGGUGAAAUACUUGGCCAUGGCCACCUCACUGACCUCCAGCAGCUCCAUAGCCAUCUCAUAACUCUCGAUCCAGGCUGCGGGUUGUAAGUCAGCUGUGUAGUUAGGCACCUUCCUAGGGCCCUUGAAAUCCUUAGGUAGACGUUCAUUACGGAUAGCUGGCACUAAACAAGGGACUCCCCCGGUCCUGGUAGGGAUACCCAGAUCAAUGGAAGCCGUCGGAUAAGCCGGGGGGGUCUGGUAAGCCGUCAAUUGCGGCACUUGCUCCGCCUCUUGCCGCGCUUGGUCUGCUGCGUAAAAGGCUCCAUUAUGAGCCGGGCCAUGGCCAGGGGGCGGGUCAUGGCGUCGGACGUUACUUGAGCCGGUUGCUGAGACCAUGUGCCGGUUGUAACUCGGGCUCUGGCCUGGACGAGGGGUCGAGUGGAUCCUGUCCCGGCUGUAGGAGUACGCCUCUUGCUGCGCCAGUGCUGUCUGAAGGAGUUCCCUGACCCGGCGGGUUUCAAUAGCCGUUGGAGAGUCGCCGUCAACUGGUAGAGCUGCUAGCCGUGCUGCCGCAGCGACCAUGUUCUCCAGCGGGUUAUUAUAAUGACCCGGAGGUAUUGGCACAUACUGAGGCGGGGCAGGGGACACCUGGGGAGGCCCCAUCACUCGUGGCUGAAUAAGGGGUCCAGACCCGGGCGCUAUGAUCCCUGGCGGGUUACUAGACCCUGCACCUGGUGUGUUGAAGAGGUUGCGUGGAUCGUAAACCGGAGGGAGUCGAGAUUGGGCCUUUUGGUGCCUCAUUCUCAGGACCUCAUUGGCCGCGUUUUGAUCCAUCGUGAGUUGGAAGGAUUGCGCCUGGAUCAGCUGGGUUUGGGCAUCGAGAGCCGCCCUCUCCGCAGCCAGCCUGAUCCCUUCCGCUGCAAGAUCCUCUUUAGCCUUCACUAGAUCCAAUUUUAACUGUGCCACCUCCGCGUCAUGCCGAGCUUGAUCCGCCGGGUCAACCGUGGCGGUUAACAGGGCCGUCAUCUUGUCCGUGAGAUCCAUUAGCACCUGAGCCGGCGAAGGCACCGGGGUUCCCGCUCCAGCAGCGGGGCUCUGAACAGGCUGUGCUCCAGCCAUAAAAACUCCAACCUGACUUGGCGGCUCAAAUAGGUCCGGAAUACUGUCACCAUCGGAACAACCCAUGAGCCUGCCAUCCUGAAGUUGGUACAACGAGUUUGACUCAUCGGUGGCCGACUCGCCGUCAGAGCCGGCGGCCGUCUCAUCACCAGACCCAGCUGGAUCAGAGGGCCCUCCAUGGAUGCAUCCCACAAAAGCGCGCCUUAAGGCAGGCCGGGCCCAGGCGGGUCGUGCGCGCUGAGCCGUUUCGAUGAGAUCGGCGCAGAGAUCCGGCUCAGGUCCCGGCUCACCAAUCUUGCCAAUGAAGACAUGAAUUCCACCGAAGGGGACCCGGUACCCGUACUCAACUGAGCCGGCGUCGGGGCCCCAGUUUGCAUCGUCGAUGUAGAGCUUGCCGCGACGACUCUUGGUCAUCCGGCCCACAGCGUAUCCCUUGAGCCCUUCGAUGCUGCCCUUCAAGAACUCAAAUCCACCGUGCGCUGGCCCCACGGUGGGCGCCAACUGUCGUGGAAUUGUCACGGCAGAUGUCCUCGAGCUAGGACUUAGUCGUGGAGCCAUCGCAACUAGGAAGCUUGAAGGGGUUAAUGUGGGACAAGGAACACGAGGGUUUAUACUGGUUCGGCCCCUUACGGUGAAGGUAAAAGCCUACGUCCAGUUGAGAUGGUAUUGAUUAGGGUUACGAUCACCAGGGAGCUAAACUGCUAUGCCCGGCUCUCGAUGAGAUUGUUGUCGUCCCUCAACCGCUACCGGGUCGUCCCUUUAUAUAGGGAGGCUGACGCCCAGCAGCCCUCAGAGCCCCGGCCGGCUCAUAAGAGCAUCCGGCUCGGACUCUCAAUCAUACUUGCCUUGCACUACAAGUUCUACCAUAACAACGAUUGUAACUACGGGCCCUAAGCCAUAUCCGGGUCUUAAGCCCAUCUCUGGCCCACCGUCUUCAAGCUUGGCUCCGGGCUUCUGGUAAUGACCAUUGGAGUAACCCGGCCCAUCCUGGCGGGUGACUCUAAGGUCUAUAUCCUCAACACUACUGUUACCGUUACUUCCAUAUUACUUUGCUACUAAAUACUUUGCUGCAAAUACUAAGUUAUCCAGGUGUGGUUGAAUUGACAACUCAUCUGCUAAAACUUGAGAAUAUUCUUUGGCUCCCCUUGUGUCAAAUCAAUAAAUUUGGGUUGAAUACUCUACCCUCGAAAACUGUUGCGAUCCCCUAUACUUGUGGGUUAUCAAGACUAUUUUCUAGAUAUCCUUCUUGCUACCUCUUGAGCACUGCGUUGGUUUUCCCUUGAAGAGGAAAUGGUGAUGCAGCAAAGUAGCGUAAGUAUUUCCCUCAGUUUUUGAGAACCAAGGUAUCAAUCCAGUAGGAGGCUACGCGCGAGUCCCUCGCACCUACACAAACAAAUAAAUCCUCGCAACCAACGCGAUAAGGGGUUGUCAAUCCCUACACGGUCACUUACGAGAGUGAGAUCUGAUAGAUAUGAUAAGAUAAUAUUUUUUGUAUUUUUAUAAUAAAGAUGCAAAGUAAAAUAAAAGAAACGGAAAUAACUAAGUGUUGGAAGAUUAAUAUGAUGGAAGAUAGACCCCGGGGCCAUAGGUUUCACUAGUGGCUUCUCUCGAGAGCAUAAGUAUUUUACGGUGGGUGAACAAAUUACUGUUGAGCAAUUGACAGAAUUGAGCAUAGUUAUGAGAAUAUCUAGGUAUGAUCAUGUAUAUAGGCAUCAUGUCCGAGACAAGUGGACCAACUCCUGCCUCCAUCUACUACUAUUACUCCACACAUCGACCGCUAUCCAGCAUGCAUCUAGAGUAUUAAGUUCAUAAGAACAGAGUAACGCUUUAAGCAAGAUGACAUGAUGUAGAGGGAUAAAUUCAUGCAAUAUGAUAAAAACUCCAUCUUGUUAUCCUCGAUGGCAACAAUGCAAUACGUGCCUUGCUGCGCCUACUGUCACUCGGAAAGGACACCGCAAGAUUGAACCCAAAGCUAAGCACUUCUCCCAUUGCAAGAAAGAUCAAUCUAGUAGGCCAAACCAAACUGAUAAUUCGAAGAGACUUGCAAAGAUAACCAAUCAUACAUAAAAGAAUUCAGAAGAUUCAAAUAUUGUUCAUAGAUAAACUUGAUCAUAGACCCACAAUUCAUCGGUCUCAACAAACACACCACAAAAGAAGAUUACAUCGAAUAGAUCUCCACAAGAGAGGGGGAGAACAUUGUAUUGAGAUCCAAAAAGAUAGAGGAAGCCAUCUAGCUAAUAACUAUGGACCCGAAAGUUUGAGGUAAACUACUCACACUUCAUCGGGGAGCCUAUGGUGUUGAUGUAGAAGCCCUCCGUGAUCGAUGCCCCCUCCGGCGGAGCUCCGGAACAGGCCACAAGAUGGGAUCUCGUGGGUACAAAAGGUUGCGGCGGUGGAAUUAGGUUUUUGGCUCUGUAUCUCAUCGUUUGGGGGUACGUAGGUAUAUAUAGGAGGAAGGAGUACGUCGGUGGAGCAACGUGGGGCCCACGAGGGUGGAGGGCGCGCCCCCUACCUCGUGGCUUCCUGGUAGCUUUCUUGAUGUAGGGUCCAAGUCCUCUGGAUCAUGUUCGUUCCGAAAAUCACGUUCCCGAAGGUUUCAUUCCGUUUGGACUCCGUUUGAUAUUCUUUUUCUGCGAAACUCUGAAAUAGGCAAAAAAACAACAAUUCUGGGCUGGGCCUCCGGUUAAUAGGUUAGUCCCAAAAAUAAUAUAAAAGUGAAUAAUAAAGCCCAAUAAUGUCCAAAACAGAAGAUAAUAUAGCAUGGAGCAAUCAAAAAUUAUAGAUACGUUGGAGACGUAUCAAGCAUCCCCAAGCUUAAUUCCUGCUCGUCCUCGAGUAGGUAAAUGAUAAAAGCAGAAUUUUUGAUGUGGAAUGCUACUUGGCAUAAUUUCAAUUUAAUUCUUCUUAAUUGUGGUAUGAAUAUUCAGAUCCGAAAGAUUCAAGAUAAAAGUUCAUAUUGACAUAAAAAUAAUAAUACUUCAAGCAUACUAACUAAGCAAUUAUGUCCUCUCAAAAUAACAUGGCCAAAGAAAGUUCAUCCCUACAAAAUCAUAUAGUUUAGUCAUGCUCCAUUUUCGUCACACAAGAAUGCUCUCAUCAUGCACAACCCCGAUGAAAAGCCAAGCAAUUGUUUCAUACUUUAGUAAUCUCAAACUUUUUCAACCUUCACGCAAUACAUGAGCGUGAGCCAUGUAUAUAGCACUAUGGGUGGAAUAGAAUAUGAUGAUGGGGGUUAUGUGAAGAAGACAAAAAAGGAGAAAGUCUCACAUCAACGAGGCUAAUCAAUGAGCUAUGGAGAUGCCCAUCGAUUGAUGUUAAUGCGAGGAGUAGGGAUUGCCAUGCAACGGAUGCCCUAGAGCUAUAAAUAUAUGAAAGCUCAACAAAAGAAACUAAGUGGGUGUGCAUCCAACUUGCUUGCUCACGAAGACCUAGGGCACUUGAGGAGGCCCAUUGUUGGAAUAUACAGGCCAAGUUCUAUAAUGAAAAAUUCCCACUUAGUAUAUGAAAGUGACAAAACAAGAGACUCUCUAUUAUGAAGAUCAUGGUGCUACUUUGAAGCACAAGUGUGGUAAAAGGAUAGUAACAUUGUCCCUUCUCUCUUUUUCUCUCAUUUUUUUGGGCCUUCUCUUUUUUUUGGCCUUUCUCUCUUUUUUUUAUUCCUCACUUGGGACAAUGCUCUAGAAAAUGAUGAUCAUCACACUUCUAUUUAUUUACAACUCAAUGAUUACAACUCGAUACUAGAACAAAGUAUGACUCUAUAUGAAUGCCUCCGGCGGUGUACCGGGAUAUGCAAUGAACCAAGAGUGACAUGUAUGAAAGAAUUAUGAAUGGUGGCUUUGCCACAAAUACUAUGUCAACUACAUGAUCAUGCAAAGCGAUAUGACAAUGAUGAACGUGUCAUGAUAAACGGGAUGGUGGAAAGUUGCAUGGCAAUAUAUCUCAGAAUGGCUAUGGAAAUGCAAUAAUAGGUAGGUAUGGUGGCUGUUUUGAGGAAGAUAUAAGGAGGUUUAUGUGUGAAAGAGCGUAUCAUAUCACGGGGUUUGGAUGCACCGGCGAAGUUUGCACCAAAUCUCAAUGUGAGAAAGGGAAAUGCACGGUACCGAAGAGGCUAGCAAUGGUGGAAAGGUGAGAGUGCGUAUAAUCCAUGGACUCAACAUUAGUCAUAAAGAAUUCACAUACUUAUUGCAAAAAUCUACAAGUCAUCAAAAACCAAGCACUGCGCGCAUGCUCCUAGGGGGAUAGAUUGGUAUGAAAAGACCAUCGCUCGUCCCCGAUCGCCACUCAUAAGGAGGACAAUCAAAGAACACCUCAUGUUUCAAAUUUGUUACAUAACGUUUACCAUACGUGCAUGCUACGGGACUUGCAAACUUCAACACAAGUAUUUCUCAAAUUCACAACUACUCAACUAGCACAACUUUAAUAUCACUACCUCCAUAUCUCAAAACAAUCAUCAAGCAUCAAACUUCUCUUAGUGUUCAACACACUCAUAAGAAAGUUUUACUAGUCUUGAAUACCUAGCAUAUUAGGAUUAUUUAAGCAAAUUACCAUGAUAUUUAAGGCUCUCAAAAUAAUCUAAGUGAAGCAUGAGAGAUCAAUAGUUUCUAUAAAACAAAUCCACCACCGUGCUCUAAAAGAUAUAAGUGAAGUACUAGAGCAAAAACUAUAUAACUCAAAAGAUAUAAGUGAAGCGCAUAGAGUAUUCUAAUAAUUUACGAAUCAUGUUUGUCUCUCUCAAAAGAUGUGCACAGAAAAUAUGAUUGUGGUAAACUAAAAGGCAAAGACUCAAAUCAUACAAGACGCUCCAAGCAAAACACAUAUCAUGUGGUGAAUAAAAAUAUAGCUCCAAGUAAAGUUACCGAUGGAAGUAGACGAAAGAGGGGAUGCCUUCCGGGGCAUCCCCAAGCUUUGGCUUUUAGGUGUCCUUAGAUAAUGUUGGGGGUGAAAUGGGCAUCCCCAAGCUUAGGCUCUUGCCACUCCUUGUUCCAUAAUCCAUCAAAUCUUUCAUCCAAAACUUGAAAACUUCACAACACAAAACUCAGCAGAAAAUCUCGUGAGCUCCGUUAACGAAAGAAAACAAAAGACCACUUCAAGGUACUGUAAUAAACUCAUUAUUUAUUUAUAUUUGUGUUAAACCUACUGUAUUCCAACUUCUCUAUGGUUUAUAAACUCUUUUACUAGCCAUAGAUUCAUCAAAAUAAGCAAACAACACACGAAAAACAGAAUCUGUCAAAAACAGAACAGUCUGUAGUAAUCUGUAACUAACGCAAACUUGUGGAACUCCAAAAAAUCAGCCAAAAUAGGAAGACCUAGAAAAUUUGUUUAUUGAUCAGAAGCAAUUGGAAUCAAUAUUUUAUCACGUUCUGGUGAUUUUUAACAAUUAUUUUCGUGAACAGAAAGUUUCUGGAAGUUACAGCAAAAUCAAAUAACUAUCAUCCAAGAAGAUCCUAUAGGUUUAACUUGGCACAAACACUAAUUAAAACAUAAAAAAACAUCUAACCAGAGGCUAGAACAAAUAUUUAUUCCUAAACAGAAUCAAAAAGCAAAAAACCUAAAAAUAAAAUUGGGUUGCCUCCCAACAAGCGCUAUCGUUUAACGCCCCUAGCUAGGCAUAAUAGCAAGGAUAGAUCUAGGUAGUGCCAUCUUUGGCUUUCAACUUUUUAGCGGAAUCAAGCUCGAAUCCAGGAGGUUCUUUACUUUUCCCUUCAUACUCUGAAAUUUUUAGAUCUAAAGAAUCCAACCGCUUAUUGCAAAGAGUAAUCAACAUAUUCAUGUGGUGAAUAUUUCCGCUAACGUUCUUAAGAGGUUCAAGAGACUUCUGUAAAAUCUUAGUUACUUCGCAAAUUUUUUCAAAAACUUGAGUCUCUUCCUCGGUAUGAUGAGACCCCUUUUGUUGAGGUAGUGUUCCCACUAUACCUUCUAUAACUUCAUGCACAAUAUGGGGACCAAUUUCAAUAAAAUUGCCUUUGGCAACGCAAUCCAAGAGUUGUCUAUGGGACAUAUUUAAUCCAACAUAAAAAUUGCGAAGCAAAAUUCUCAGGUUCACUUCAAAGGUACAAUUACGGUAAGACUCCAUUAUUCUCAACCAGGCAUUUUUUAAGUUUUCUCCUUGUCUUUGUUUGAAGUGAAAGACUUCAAACUCAGGGGACAAAGGAGUUGAUAAGGGACUAGCCAUAACGACAAGCAAACGAAAAAAGAGGCAAACGGAAAAGAGAGGGCGAAUAAAACGGCAAAGGUGAAGUGGGGGAGAGGAAAACGAGAGGCAAAUGGCAAAUAAUGUAAUGCAGGAGAUAAGGGUUUGUGAUGGGUACUUGGUAUGUUGACUUUUGCGUAGACUUCCCCGGCAACGGCGCCAGAAAGCCUUCUUGCUACCUCUUGAGCACUGCGUUGGUUUUCCCUUGAAGAGGAAAGGGUGAUGCAGCAAAAUAGCGUAAGUAUUUCCCUCAGUUUUUGAGAACCAAGGUAUCAAUCCAGUAGGAGGCUACGCGCGAGUCCCUCGCACCUACACAAACAAAUAAAUCCUCGCAACCAACGCGAUAAGGGGUUUGCUGAGUGGCGUAGAGGCCGCCCGUCGCCACGCAGGUGCCUGCCCGGCUGGUUGAGCUAGCAGAUGCUUGGGGACGACGGUGGAGUCUUGGUCGACGCGGGCCUGGCUGUGGCCCCGCCGACGUCCUCGGCAAGGGCCUUGCCAGGGGCCCGGCAAGGGUCUUGCCGUGGCGUUGCAGUCAUCCCCGGCAAGGUGUUUGCCAGGGGUCUUGUGGAUCCCCUCGGCAAGGAUCCCGCCGAGGGUCGCCGUCUUCUGGUUCUCAUCUGAUGUCACAUAUCUAUGGUCUUGACAAAGAUCUGCAUGCCACCACGGAGGUGCCUCCCGCGCCCUAGUUCCAAUGUAGUUGGUUGGGUUGGAACCCGUGGGCUCAAGGGUGGCUCGCUUUGUUGGUGUCGGGCGUGCCGCCCCGGCAAGGCCCUUGCCGGGGCUGCCGCUGCCGAGGCUGCCCCGGCAAGGGUCUUGCCGGGGGAUCCUGCUUCGCCCUUCUGUCCUUUGUGUUCUUGGUCUUGGCGUUGCCUUGGCCGUCUUGUGCUUUGGCUUCUCUCCGGCUCCCCUCCUCUGCCCUGCUUAGUGUGGCUGCGGCACGCGGCUCCGACUGCCUGUGCACAAGUAAAGGGGUACAAAGGGGUGCCCCUACUUUUGUACACCGACAGAGACGUGAUCCCGGAUUUGCCUUCCCACUAGAGCUCACUCAGUUGAUCCAACAGCAGAAUGCCUUGAUGCAGUUGCUAGUCCAGAACCAAGGCAACAACAACAACGACAACAACGACAACAACGACAACAACAAAAACAACAACAACAACGACGACGACGACGACGACGACGACGACGACGACGACGACGACGACAACAACAACAACAACAACAACAACAACAACAACAACAACAACAACAACAACAACAACAACAACAACAACAACAACAACAACAACAACAACAACAACAACAACAACAACAACAACAACAACAACAACAACAACAACAACAACAACAACAACAACAACAACAACAACAACAACAACAACAACAACAACAACAACAACAACAGCAACAACCACAACAAC